CCCCUCUCAGGGUUGCAUCUGGAGAGUUUCCAGUACUCUACCAGUCUCAACUACAGGAGGGAGAGUCGGGCAGAGACCUACCCAUUCCACUCCUAGCUUGAGCAGUGGCUAGCGAGUGGAAGGCAAUCUGCCACAAGU